AACGAACGCUGGCGGCAGGCUUAACACAUGCAAGUCGAACGGUUGUAGCAAUACAGCAGUGGCAGACGGGUGAGUAACACGUGGGAACCUUCCUAGGGGUACGUAACAACUCAGGGAAACUUGAGCUAAUACCGUAUACGUCCGUGAGGAGAAAGAUUUAUCGCCCUUAGACGGGCCCGCGUCGGAUUAGCUAGUUGGUGGGGUAACGGCCUACCAAGGCGACGAUCCGUAGCUGAUCUUAGAGGAUGAUCAGCCACACUGGGACUGAGACACGGCCCAAACUCCUACGGGAGGCAGCAGUGGGGAAUCUUGGACAAUGGGCGCAAGCCUGAUCCAGCCAUGCCGCGUGAGUGAAGAAGGUCUUCGGAUUGUAAAGCUCUUUUGCCAGGGACGAUAAUGACGGUACCUGGAGAAUAAGCCCCGGCUAACUCUGUGCCAGCCGCCGCAGUAA
rnacentral:rRNA from 1 species